AACGAACGCUGGCGGCAUGCCUAACACAUGCAAGUCGAACGAGACCUCCGGGGCUAGUGGCGCAUGGGUGCGUACCGCGUGGGAACCUGCCCUUAGGUUCGGAAUAACUCCCCGAAAGGGGUGCUAAUACCGGAUAAUUUCUACGGCCCAAAGAUUUAUCGCCUUUGGAUGGGCCCGCGUGGGAUUAGCUAGUUGGUAUGGUAAAGGCCUACCAAGGCGACGAUCAGUAGCUGGUCUGAGAGGAUGAUCAGCCACACUGGGACUGAGACACGGCCCAGACUCCUACGGGAGGCAGCAGUGGGGAAUCUUCGACAAUGGGCGAAAGCCUGAUCCAGAAAUGCCGCGUGUGUGAAGAAGGCCUUCGGGUUGUAAAGAACUUUUGUCCGGAAAGAAAACAUUGGCACUAAUACGGGCGGGGGAUGACGGUACCGGAAGAAAAAGCACCGGCUAACUACGUG
rnacentral:rRNA from 1 species